rnacentral:rRNA from 1 species
GAUGAACGCUGGCGGCGUGCUUAACACAUGCAAGUCGAACGGUGAAGCAGAGCUUGCUCUGUGGAUCAGUGGCGAACGGGUGAGUAACACGUGAGCAACCUGCCCCGGACUCUGGGAUAAGCGCUGGAAACGGCGUCUAAUACUGGAUACGAGCUGCGACCGCAUGGUCAGCAGUUGGAAAGAUUUUUCGGUCUGGGAUGGGCUCGCGGCCUAUCAGCUUGUUGGUGAGGUAAUGGCUCACCAAGGCGUCGACGGGUAGCCGGCCUGAGAGGGUGACCGGCCACACUGGGACUGAGACACGGCCCAGACUCCUACGGGAGGCAG